rnacentral:rRNA from 1 species
UACAGAGGUCUCAAGCGUUGUUCGGAUUCAUUGGGCGUAAAGGGUGCGUAGGUGGCGCGGUAAGUCGGGUGUGAAAUCUCGGAGCUUAACUCCGAAAUUGCAUUCGAUACUGCCGUGCUCGAGGACUGGAGAGGAGACUGGAAUUUACGGUGUAGCGGUGAAAUGCGUAGAUAUCGUAAGGAAGACCAGUAGCGAAGGCGGCUCGCUGGGCCAUUCCUGACGCUGAGACGCGAAAGCUAGGGGAGCGAACAGG